AACAUCGAUCCCACAUUGGCCGCCAUCUUGAGACAUAUUGAGACAGAAUGAAAGAGGCUGGAGUUCCUGUCUUCACCCUUUCUCCACUGCCUCCCUGUUCUACCAGUCUGUUCUGUGUCCAGGCAACUGCAAAAAGACAUUUCAAAGGCUCCUGCCGUGCCAUGUAGAUGUUUUCUCUUGUUAGUUUGGACUGCAGGUGUGUAAGCCUCAAGGAUGAAGUAUCGUGGUGCUGUUUUAGGUUCGGGGCACACAGUCAUGGCACAAUAAAUCACAUAGGAACGCUCCGCUUUGAACGCGCGCGCACAGAAAAGGGAAAAGAAAAAAAGCAUCUGACCUGAAUCAUUUUCUGGAAACACAUCUGGUUAAAAUCCAAAGUUUUAAAUUGAGUAAUAUUUUAAAAUACAUUUGGUGGGUAUUAAAUUACAGUGUUAUAUCUGGUAAUAUUUACGAUACUAAUGUGUUAAGAGGAGGUUUAUAUCUGUCAAGAAAUAUGAAUGAUUGUCAUAUGGGGUAACAAAUGAAUCCUGAUAUAAAUAACAUUUUAUGAUAUUUUUAACAUUAUUGUAGUCUUUUUUUUUUUGCAGAAGUUACAUUAUUGCCAAUUUGAAAUAAAAGCUCUGUGGCUACAUACCAAAGCUUUUAGCUAUGUAAUUUUGAAUAAGUAAAAAGCAGUUCGGCUGAUUUGGGGAAUUACUGAGAAACCUUAACUCUGCCGGAAGACAAACGCUGAGCACCUAUAAUUCCUAUUGUCUUCCAUGCAGGAUCAAGUCCCUCGUUUGCCAUUUUGUGUGGCAGCAAGCCCAAGGAAAUCUUGCUUGACAGCUCUGUUUUCUCAAAGUGCUGCAUUUCUUCAGGCUGGAUUCUGCAAAGAUCCUGCAGGCUACAGAGCUCCUUGGAGCAAGCGAUAAUGUGCUUUGUGUGCCUGCUGAAAUGUACCUGUGUACGAUGGCAGAGGGAGCUUGGAAAACUGGAUGCACCCUAGAAGAUGGUUAGAAUAAAGUUUUCUUAGGUUAUUA